CUGUCGACCUUCAGUCUCGAGCAGAGAGCAGUCGACCCAGAGACCCCAUCGAUGUGAAGCUUACGUUGUUAGAUGUAAUUCCUUCAACUAGAUGUCGUGACCGAUCAUUAACUUUAAGUCGCAAAAAAUUGAUGCCGGCCCCCGAACAACAUAAGAAAUAAAAUAAAUAGCUUCCCAAGCGCCCAGACGCUACGCCUUCUAUUUGUGGUAUGAAAAAAAUACAAAGAAGAACCUGCGGAGGGAUCAUUACACAUAAAUAUGAAGCCGUACGCGGCUGUGCUCUCGGACCAGUUUGCGGAGGUUGAAUUAUUUAUUACCCUUGUCUUUGCGCACUUGUUGUUUCCUGGGCGGGUUCGCCCGCCACCAGGACCACAUCAUAAACCUUUUUUAUGCAGUUGCAAUCAGCGUCAGUAUAACAAAUGUAAAUCAUUUACAACUUUCAACAACGGAUCUCUUGGUUCUGGCAUCGAUGAAGAACGCAGCGAAAUGCGAUACGUAGUGUGAAUUGCAGAAUUCAGUGAAUCAUCGAAUCUUUGAACGCACAUUGCGCCCUUUGGUAUUCCAAAGGGCAUGCCUGUUCGAGCGUCAUUUGUACCCUCAAGCUUUGCUUGGUGUUGGGCGUUUUUAGUCUUUGGUUGCCAAAGACUCGCCUUAAAAGGAUUGGCAGCCGGCCUACUGGUUUCGCAGCGCAGCACAUUUUUGCGCUUGCAAUCAGCAAAAGAGGACGGCAAUCCAUCAAGACUCCCUCUCACGUUGACCUCGGAUCAGGAGGGAAGCCCG
rnacentral:rRNA from 1 species